AAAAUAUUCAUCUCAUAAGAAAUAUCAAAGUUCAGAAGUAAAAUCCUCCAUAAUGGCUUUUCGCUUCUAUCAACCUUUUGUUUUGGGAAUUUUGUUUGUUGCUUUGGUUUUGGGUUCAGGACCAGUAACAGGAUUAAGUCCACCAAUCUUUUCUUGCGUAGGGAAAUGCAAAACUGCUGCAGAUUGCAAUAAUAUUUGUAAGCCAAAUUGUGUAUGUUUCAAAUUUGAAGGGGAAGAUUAUGGUUGCUGUAAGUGAUUGAGUUAUACUGUACAAGUAAUUUUAUAAAACUAUAAUAAAAUGGGUGUUUUUACUAA